rnacentral:pre_miRNA from 1 species
CUUAUUUAAAUGUGUAUGGAGUUGGAACGUUUGCGUACGUUUGCCGCUAGGGGCGCUGUUCCAACUGCAUAUAAAUUCGAGUUA